rnacentral:rRNA from 1 species
CCUACGGGGGGCAGCAGUGAGGCAUAUUGGUCAAUGGGCGUAAGCCUGAACCAGCCAAGUCGCGUGAGGGAUGAAGGUUCUAUGGAUCGUAAACCUCUUUUAUAAGGGAAUAAAGUGUGGGACGUGUCCUUUUUUGUAUGUACCUUAUGAAUAAGGAUCGGCUAACUCCGUGCAAGCAGCCGCGGUACUACGGAGGCUCCGAGCGUUAGCCGGAUUUAUUGGGUUUAAAGGGUGCGUAGGCGGCCUUUUAAGUCAGCGGGGAAAGUUUGUGGCUCAACCAUAUAAUUGCAGUGGAUACUGGGAGGCUUGAGGAUGUUUGAGGCAGGCGGAAUGCGUGGUGUAGCGGUGAAAUGCUGAGAUAUCACGCAGAACCCCGAUUGCGAAGGCAGCCUGCCAAGCCAUGACUGACGCUGAUGCACGAAAGCGUGGGGAUCAAACAGGAUUAGAUACCCCGGUAGUC